UACGGAAGGCAGCAGUGGGGAAUAUUGCACAAUGGGCGCAAGCCUGAUGCAGCCAUGCCGCGUGUAUGAAGAAGGCCUUCGGGUUGUAAAGUACUUUCAGUCGUGAGGAAGGUGUUAAGGUUAAUAACCUUAGCAAUUGACGUUAGCGACAGAAGAAGCACCGGCUAACUCUGUGCCAGCAGCCGCGGUAAUACGGAGGGUGCGAGCGUUAAUCGGAAUUACUGGGCGUAAAGGGCACGCAGGCGGUUAAUUAAGUUGGAUGUGAAAUCCCCGGGCUUAACCUGGGAAUGGCAUUCAAGACUGGUUAGCUAGAGUCUUGUAGAGGGGGUAGAAUUCCAUGUGUAGCGGUGAAAUGCGUAGAGAUGUGGAGGAAUACCGGUGGCGAAGGCGGCCCCUGGGACAAAGACUGACGCUCAUGUGCGAAAGCGUGGGGAGCAAACAGGAUUAGAUACC
rnacentral:rRNA from 1 species